UACAGAGGUCUCAAGCGUUGUUCGGAUUCAUUGGGCGUAAAGGGUGCGUAGGCGGCGCGGUAAGUCGGGUGUGAAAUCUCGGGGCUUAACUCCGAAACUGCAUUCGAUACUGCCGUGCUUGAGGACUGGAGAGGAGACUGGAAUUUACGGUGUAACGGUGAAAUGCGUAGAUAUCGUAAGGAAGACCAGUGGCGAAGGCGGGUCUCUGGACAGUUCCUGACGCUGAGGCACGAAGGCCAGGGGAGCAAACGGG
rnacentral:rRNA from 1 species